CUGGAAGGCAGCAGCCCUUACUGGGUUCAAGAAGGGCU
rnacentral:SRP_RNA from 15 species